AAAGCCGAAUUCCGGAAUCCGGUCUUUUUACUUUUGAGUCGGAGGCUAGUGUGUUGGGGCUUAGCCGCUCAUCGAGUUUUUGUGAAAAUGACUGAAACUCUAAAGCUUAGAGGAACCCUCUGUGGCCACAAUGGCUGGGUUACCCAAAUUGCGACCAACCCUAAAUACCCUGACAUGAUUUUGUCUUCUUCCCGAGACAAAACCCUCAUCGUAUGGAAGCUGACCAGAGACGAGACUAACUACGGUGUACCGCAGAAACGUCUGUACGGUCACUCUCACUUCAUCUCGGACGUUGUGCUCUCCAGUGACGGAAACUACGCUCUGUCUGGCUCCUGGGACAAGACCCUGCGUCUGUGGGAUCUUGCUGCCGGCAAGACCACCAGGCGUUUCGAAGACCAUACUAAGGUGUGACAGAACUUAAGAUUUUGUUAGGGCUCUAGUAUAAGCGCCGAUACGCGGCAGAAGACUAAAGUGUGUUUGUGCCUAUGCGAGGCAGAAGAAUUCAUAAUGCUGACAGCAUUGUUGCGAUCUGACUAGGACUGGCUUUGAGGAUGUCCUCUCCGUGGCGUUCUCAGUUGACAACCGUCAGAUCGUGUCUGGCUCCCGAGACAAGACCAUCAAGCUGUGGAACACACUGGCUGAGUGCAAGUACACCAUCCAGGAUGAUGGCCACAGUGACUGGGUGUCCUGCGUCCGCUUCUCCCCCAACCAUGCCAACCCCAUCAUUGUGUCGGCUGGUUGGGACCGCACCGUUAAGGUCUGGCACCUUACCAACUGCAAGCUCAAGAUCAACCACCUUGGUCACUCUGGCUACCUGAACACAGUCACUGUCUCCCCUGACGGUUCCCUCUGCGCCUCUGGUGGCAAGGACAUGAAGGCCAUGCUCUGGGACUUGAACGAUGGCAAGCACCUGCACACCCUGGACCACAAUGACAUCAUCACAUCAUUGUGCUUCUCGCCCAACAGAUACUGGCUGUGUGCUGCUUUCGGACCUUCCAUCAAGAUCUGGGAUCUGGAAAGCAAGGAGAUGGUUGAAGAGCUCAGGCCUGAGAUCAUCAACCAGACCCAGACCUCCAAGUCAGACCCACCCCAGUGCCUGUCGCUGGCGUGGUCCACAGACGGUCAGACCCUCUUCGCUGGCUACUCCGACAACAUCAUCAGAGUCUGGCAGGUGUCAGUCUCAGCACGAUAAGGAGC